CCGACGGGUGAGUAACGCGUAUGCAACUUGCCUAUCAGGAGGGGAUAACCCGGCGAAAGUCGGACUAAUACCGCAUGAAGCAGGGGCCCCGCAUGGGGAUAUUUGCUAAAGAUUCAUCGCUGAUAGAUAGGCAUGCGCUCCAUUAGGCAGUUGGCGGGGUAACGGCCCACCAAACCGACGAUGGAUAGGGGUCCUGAGAGGAAGGUCCCCCACAUUGGUACUGAGACACGGACCAA
rnacentral:rRNA from 1 species